rnacentral:snRNA from 1 species
AUCUCUUCUCGGCCUUUUGGCUAAGAUCAAGUGUAGAAUGUAGGAUAAAAAUCACACAGUUAUCUCAAUAGAUGCAGAAAAGCAUUUAAUAAAAUCUAGCACCCUUU